rnacentral:sRNA from 1 species
GAGGUAGCUUCACUUUCUGAUGGUGGUUGAUGAACACAAAUAACAUACAGGAAGUGACGUCAUUUCCCGGAGCCUUCAGAAUCUAAUCUUCACAAUUUGGUCCAGGCAGGGGGAAAGACUAUGUACAGCCGUCGCCCCUCCUGCGACCAUACUAGUACUUUCAAAUCGACCAAUAGUUGGUACUUUCAAAUCAAGCUUUGCGUAUCAUUCAAUCUCCAACACUGAAAGCUAUUGAGAAAGUCUUUCAAUACAAAUGCCUUCCUACGACAGAUAUGGCAGCUUGUCCAGUGGCAGGACCUACGGGACGGUGAGUAGCCUUUACGUCAUGUCACAGUCAUGUCAAAGAUUGUCACGAUAGUGAAUGACAUGUCAGUGUAUAUUAGAGUGUGAAUUUGUUUGACCCAAGGCGGAUGUAGUGUCUUACUUCAGACCGUGAACUAGCAAGACAUUUAGAUGUACCUGUAACUAUAUGGCAGUGACUUUUAUUACAUUAUUGUAGCCGCUAAGGUGUAGCGGGUAGCCCAGUAACAAUAUCAGCCUAGAGCAGGAACUAUCUUCAGCCACACUAUCGUAAUCGGGAUUCCUAAUACACAGGGACUCAAUUUGAGUGUAACAAAAAACUAUCAUUUAGAUUCAGCACA